UACAGAGGGUGCGAGCGUUGUCCGGAAUCACUGGGCGUAAAGGGCGCGUAGGUGGCGCGACAAGUCAGUCGUGAAAUCUCUCGGCUCAACCGAGAAACGUCGGCUGAUACUGCCGUUCUUGAGGACUGGAGAGGAGACUGGAAUUCAUGGUGUAGCAGUGAAAUGCGUAGAGAUCAUGAGGAAGACCAGUGGCGAAGGCGGGUCUCUGGACAGUUCCUGACACUGAGGCACGAAGGCCAGGGGAGCAAACGGG
rnacentral:rRNA from 1 species